GACGAACGCUGGCGGCGUGCCUAAUACAUGCAAGUAGAACGCACAGUUUAUACUUUAGCUUGCUACACCAUAGACUGUGAGUUGCGAACGGGUGAGUAACGCGUAGGUAACCUGCCUGGUAGCGGGGGAUAACUAUUGGUAACGAUAGCUAAUACCGCAUAAUAUUAAUUAUUGCAUGAUAAUUAAUUGAAAGGUGCAAUUGCACCACUACCAGAUGGCCCUGCGUUGUAUUAGCUAGUAGGUGAGGGAACGGCUCAACUAGGCGGGGAUACAUAGCCGGACGGAGAGGGCGAGCGGCCAAACUGGGAGGGAGACACGGCCCAGACGGCUAGGGGAGGGAGCAGGAGGGAAUCUUCGGGAAUGGACGAAAGACUGACCGAGCAAGGCCGCGGGAGGGAAGAAGGAUGUCGGAUCGGAAAGGUCGGUUGUAAGGGAAGAAAGGGUGUGAGAGUGGAAAGUUCACACUGUGACGGUAUCUUACCAGAAAGGAACGGCUAACUACGUG
rnacentral:rRNA from 1 species